rfam:Streptomyces decoyicus strain NRRL 2666 P029contig37.1, whole genome shotgun sequence.
CACCGACGCCAGCGACGGCGCAGGGUCCUACGGCCCUAGGGAGGAAGCCCGGUGAGAAUCCGGCGCGGUCCCGCCACUGUGAACCCGGAAACUGCCGGGCGAGCCAGGAACUCCCGCCGUCCUUACGACCACC